AACAGUGGGAAAUACCAACUGUGAAUUCAUCAACUAGAGAUUUGGUUAGGAGAAGAGGGGAGUGGCUGUGCAUUGGUUCAAAACUAAAGACACAGAUGGAGCUGGUAAGGCAGGGGCCUGGAAUUGUCUGUAAGAAGCUGUACGGGGAAUCUGAAAGCAAUUCCUUAAAGUUCUGCCAGCUGAAGUAGAAGACUCAGUGCAAAGCCCUAAUUAGAAGUCUGGUGAGAAAUCUUUCUGGGGAAAACCACCUGCAGGCAGAUUGCUUUCAAAUGUGGUCUUGCAAAUCACUCUGAAACCAAGGGAGCCAGCCCUAGCCAUAGUGCUUUUAAUGAAUGGAGACAAGGACCAUCUCCCCUCCAUGCUGACCUGUGCUCCAAUGCAAUUACCUCUGCAGCUGAUUGUACAAGCCUCUUCCUCACAAGUGGGAGCUAUUUUCAUAGACCUCAUUGUUUUAGACAGUUUUAGAAAUGAUGGUCUAUUUCUAAUGUAAGAGAGCCCCGACAGUGGCAUCCCUGCUAAUGGACUGUAAUUACAGGAUUGAUCCCACAUCCCUGCCAAUAUGAACCCUUCUGUGCUUUCUAAGGCAACAACAACAGCAUAAAUCAAUGGUCUGCCACAACAAGCUUCAGUGGAUUCAGGGUUGGUUGGCUUUGUGUAGCUGCUGAGGAGGCCUGCAUGGGAGGUGGGACCCUUCCCAGGAAUUGUGAGGCCACCUGUGACUUUAAACCUUUCUUCCUUCUACAAGCUAAAUGGUACCAUGAGGAUUCCAGUACUAGGAAUGCUGGUUUCCGUCAGAUCAGAACUGGAAACAAUGACUAUAGAUUCAUAGAAUCCUGGUUAUGUUAUUUCUCUUGUUGUUGUAGAAGAUAUAUAUCAUCUGAUGGGUCAAAUUCAUAUUAAUUCAGAUUAAUCAGGUUUUUUUCUCUUAUUUUGCAAAUAAUUAUCAUCAUAGCAAAAAUUAUGAAGAUUAUAAGUAGGAAAUCUCCCUCUUUAUCAAUAAAGUCAUUGGUUUCUUGCAGAAUAUGAAAAGAAAAUCUUUGGUGAAUACAGUAGAAUUAUGUACAAAUGCAUUUUAUUCUAUUUUACUUUAUUUUUGUUUUUAAUUCUGUAGAAAAAUGUUUCACAUUUUAAAGCGUAUUUGCUAGAAAAAGGAAACCUGAGGUGGAGUUUUUCCAGGAAUUUCCAUGAAGAACAUGGACAUGGAAUUUUGUCACCUUUAUUCUUCUCAGAAAGUGUUUUCAUGUUAAUAUGCAAAAGGACUCAAUUUUGUACUUUUACAACACAUUUUCAAAUAAAUGUGUUCGUUUAAAAACAGGUACAUUUUGUUAAGAAACUCUUGGCUUUCAUCUUUUUACACAUAUAAAGAUUUUUAGGUUUUGUACAAAUAAGCACUUUUAAUGUAGUUUUAUGUUUACUUGAUAUUAUUCUGCACAGUUUUAUAUGAGAACUUGCCAGCAAGUAUUUCUAGAUAAAUUUUGCUUGAUACAAUGUAGGAUCUUCAGUUUCAUGUCCAUUACUGCAAUAUAUAUGUGAUUCAGGUGUGCCACUUCACUGUACAAUGUACUUUGCUAUUUCACAAUGAUGAAUGGAAUAGGAUGGUGGCACAAACUUUUAACAAAGUUAAAAGUGGAUCUAAGAGCUAAUUCCUUCUGUCAAAACCACUUACAUCACUGAAGGACCUAGGCAUUGCUCUUCCUUUGCAACUGCAGUAAAGCCCACUAAGAUGUCAACUCAAAGUGAUGGGAAGGUCCUUAUCCUACACCUCAGUAGUGCUAAAGAAGCUAAUGAUCAUUUAUUUAUUUAUUUAUUUAUUUAUUUUGUAAAUAAGUCCACAUGCAGCAGAACCAUAAAACAUUAUUUUGCUCUUUCUGAAAGUGCUACUAUGUAACGUCCGUAGAUUUGUUUUUUAUUUAAUUUUGUGAUUAAAGUUUUUAUUGA